UACGAAGGGGGCUAGCGUUGCUCGGAAUCACUGGGCGUAAAGGGCGCGUAGGCGGACUUUUAAGUCGGGGGUGAAAGCCCAGGGCUCAACCCUGGAAUUGCCUUCGAUACUGAGAGUCUUGAGUUCGGAAGAGGUUGGUGGAACUGCGAGUGUAGAGGUGAAAUUCGUAGAUAUUCGCAAGAACACCAGUGGCGAAGGCGGCUCACUGGCCCGAUACUGACGCUGAGGCACGAAAGCGUGGGGAGCAAACAGG
rnacentral:rRNA from 1 species